CCUACGGGGGGCUGCAGUGGGGAAUAUUGCACAAUGGGCGCAAGCCUGAUGCAGCCAUGCCGCGUGUGUGAAGAAGGCCUUCGGGUUGUAAAGCACUUUCGGCGGGGAGGAAGGCGUUAAGGUUAAUAACCUUGGCGAUUGACGUUACCCGCAGAAGAAGCACCGGCUAACUCCGUGCCAGCAGCCGCGGUAAUACGGAGGGUGCAAGCGUUAAUCGGAAUUACUGGGCGUAAAGCGCACGCAGGCGGUCUGUCAAUUCGGAUGUGAAAUCCCCGGGCUCAACCUGGGAACUGCAUUCGAAACUGGCAGGCUAGAGUCUUGUAGAGGGGGGUAGAAUUCCAGGUGUAGCGGUGAAAUGCGUAGAGAUCUGGAGGAAUACCGGUGGCGAAGGCGGCCCCCUGGACAAAGACUGACGCUCAGGUGCGAAAGCGUGGGGAGCAAACAGGAUUAGAUACCCGAGUAGUC
rnacentral:rRNA from 1 species